GAUAAAAAUUGAAGUGGAUGAACUGGCAAAAGAUUUUGAAGCAGGGCAAUUAACAGAAUAAUCAAGAAGAGAAAUACAGCAAAAGGACCUGGAGAAAAGGUCCUCUGGAGCAUCAAUGAAGAGAAAGGUUGAAGGCCACGUUUUCUUGCUGAUGCAUUGGAUAUAAAUGAAGAAUAAGCACAGCAUGUGGUGCCAGGCCAUUGCAGGGCAUCACCCACUCAAGCUCAUACUGGACAAGAUAAUCCAUUGUCCUACCUCUGAUGACGUCACUUCUGGUUUCCGGUCUCCUGAACCCACCUUACACUUUUCAGCCCUUAAAUCUGGCUCCUCUGCCAUCUUGAGGCAGUCUACCAUCAAC